UCUCGGAGAUUGCAGAGAUGCGAUUGUGCCUUCGGGAACCGUAAGACAGGUGCUGCAUGGCUGUCGUCAGCUCGUGUUGUGAAAUGUUGGGUUAAGUCCCGCAACGAGCGCAACCCUUAUCCUUAGUUGCCAGCACGUAAUGGUGGGAACUCUAGGGAGACUGCCGGUGAUAAACCGGAGGAAGGUGGGGACGACGUCAAGUCAUCAUGGCCCUUACGAGUAGGGCUACACACGUGCUACAAUGGUAUGUACAGAGGGAGGCAAGCUGGCGACAGUGAGCGGAUCUCAUAAAGCAUAUCGUAGUCCGGAUUGGAGUCUGCAACUCGACUCCAUGAAGUCGGAAUCGCUAGUAAUCGUGAAUCAGAAUGUCACGGUGAAUACGUUCCCGGGUCUUGUA
rnacentral:rRNA from 1 species